CUACGGGGGGCUGCAGUGGGGAAUAUUGGACAAUGGGGGAAACCCUGAUCCAGCAAUGCCGCGUGUGUGAAGAAGGCCUGCGGGUUGUAAAGCACUUUCGGUUGGGAGGACUGCUUCUAGCACUAAUAUUGUUGGAAGUUGACGUUACCUUCAGAAGAAGCACCGGCUAACUCCGUGCCAGCAGCCGCGGUAAUACGGAGGGUGCAUGCGUUAAUCGGAAUUACUGGGCGUAAAGCGCGCGUAGGCGGCUAGAUCAGUCGGGUGUGAAAGCCCCGGGCUUAACCUGGGAACUGCAUCCGAUACUGUCUAGCUUGAGUACAGGAGAGGAGAGUGGAAUUCCACAUGUAGCGGUGAAAUGCGUAGAUAUGUGGAGGAACACUAAUGGCGAAGGCAGCUCUCUGGCCUGAUACUGACGCUGAGGUGCGAAAGCGUGGGGAGCAAACAGGAUUAGAUACCCCUGUAGUC
rnacentral:rRNA from 1 species